rnacentral:tRNA from 1 species
AGGGAGAUGUUAAUAUAGGAUGGCUGCUAACUACUCCUACAAGCGAAUAAUUACGUUUUCUCCCUG